CAGUAUUUUAUGUAUAAUUAUUUAAAGAUUUCUGCAAGUCAAAUAUAUUACCACUUCUAGAAAUACAGGGUGUAAAUUUAUUUUCAGUUUUAGCCAUAGCUUACUUUGAGGCAACGCUUCAAAAAGUGCAGCUCUGACACUUACCCCAAAAGUCAACUUUUAGUCCUGGAACAGUAAUAUUAAUGCCUCUCUGAGCAUGUGCAAAGUGGCAGUUCCUCAUGCUUUACAUGAAACAUUUACACAAUUGACAAUUAAGUGUUGUGGGGAUACACCAGAACAUAGGAUGAUGCCAUACCCUGUCUAUGUUAAGUCAGACCCAGUGGAGUACUGGCAAAGUAGAAGUGGGGAUCGCUUCAUGAUAGUGGGGGUUCCCUUUUAGCCACACCUCAAAGCCACACCCCCAUCCAAGCCACACCCUCAAGCCACACCCAUUUCUAAGAUUAUGCAACCUUUGAUUAUAUAAUAAAAAUGAGCUUUGUCACUUUGUUUGUCACUUUGUUUGACAUGGAUGCAAGAUGGGAGUAUCUCUUUUUCAGGUGAAACAAUGACAGCUUCUAGACAUUAUUUCUCAUUAUCUUAUUUAUUGUGAAUAAAUGAUUUUUUAUUACAUAAAUAUCCUUCUCUCCAGACAAAAAGAUCCCAGAGUGGCUUAUGUGGAAUAAAUAAGGUAGUUCUAUCCCACAGGCUUACUAUAUAAAAACAUGACAUAGAGGAGAAAGAGACAGAGAAGGAAGAGGAAAAAAGGAAACUCAGGCACUAAUUGCUCACACUUACAGAAACAUAUGUAGUGAUAGGUUUCCAAGAGCAGCAAUCUGGACUGACACUGUUUGGUUUAACUUUCUGUGGCCUCUGCAGCCACUGCAGCUGUAUAACCAUAUGUAUGGGGGAUCUUCCAUGAGUCCAAAGUACAUAGUUUAGGGGUCCCAGUUUCUCAAAAUAUCCAGUAAUCUUUUUAUUGUUUUCUCAUUGGAUCCAAGCUGAACCAUGCAUAAAGUAGCCUAACUGAAGUAAGAGGGAAAGCAUGCCACUGCAAAUGCCACCAAAUCCUUUGUGUGCUGUUACAUGCACAUGACCACUGAUUAGGAAAGCACAUGGGAUGAGCAUUUCCGUAGUGACAAAUCACAUGCAUUGCACGCAUAAAGCUUCAGGCUCAUUCCUCAGAUAGUCCUGAAAAAGACUCAGUUACAAACCUGGAGACAACACUGAGUUAAAUGGGCCAGUGGUCUGACUAACAUAGGACUUAGGAGAAGUGAUUGGGAAAAGAAAUGGGAAAGAGCAAAGAAGGGAAGUUCAAGGAUAGGGUAAGAGGAAGUGGAGAAGAUCAGUUAUUCUUCAGGACAAUGACCUGAAGCAGAUGUGUGGUUGCAAGCAAACAUGGGAGAGGCCUACAAUCAGUAGUAUGAACCCCACAAGAACAAAUGGACAAGAAAAGAAUCGCUUAAUUCCACGGGGACUGCUCACCACCACCAGCCUGAGGACAACUGAAGGAGGUACUGAGGGUAACUACUCAGAGGAGGGCCUUCUCUGCGGUGGCGCCCAGAUUAUGGAGUAUGCUUCCCCAGAGAGGUCCACCUGGCACUGACUCACUACUCUUUUCGGCGCCAGAGAUAAGACUACACUAGAGGCUGCAGGCAGAUGCAUCAGGUACUCAAAAACUUGAUAAUGGUGUUUAAAAAAAAACAUGGAGUGUGAGGGAUUGUGAAUACUAGGAAAACACAGUAGGGGUUAUUGAAACUCCCCAAACAACAUGGUCCUGAUCUGAAUUGGGGCCAUGUGAGCACACACAGGAGUAAACAUGCUGCAUAAUUAUUAUAAAAUGGAAUAUAAGUUCUAUUGUUAAAGCCAAGCAGGUCUGGUCCUGGAUGGCAGACUGCCUUGGGACCAUAGUUUAGCUUCUCAGACUCAACUCUGUACGCAAACAGUAAGGUAUGUAGAAUAUUUGCAGUUGAAGUAAUACAUAGAAGUCCUAUUGCAAAGAAAGCAAUCAGAAUAUUCUACCCAAACCGAAAGUCUGCUAGCACAGAAGCCCACACAGAAUAUCAAGUAUUAGGGCUAAUGGCAUGCCAUCUGCCUGUAUGAAAUUGGUUUAAUUUUACACUGAUUGCUUCCUUCUAGGCAUGGUCUCCAAUGCGAUAGACAGCAACUGGCUUUGUUUAUGAUGGGCCUCAUCUAUGUUCACCCGUUUAUUUGCAUUUGACAGCAGGACAUCAGCUCAACUGAUUAACAAUUGAGUUUGCUUUGUUUGUAUUAUGUUUGGGUUCUUUUAUUGCCCUUUAGUAAUAAUGCCAUAAAGAAAGCAUCCUGUUGCUUUUUCUAUUUAUUUUAUUAAACCUCCUCCCUUCAGGGUA